rnacentral:lncRNA from 1 species
UUUUUUGUUUUGUUUUGGUUUGGUUUUUUUUGCUUUAAAUUUAUUAUGGAACCAAGAUAAUUUUUUGUUUAACUUUUUGUAUAUCUAAGGUGAUUAUAUUUCUGCAUUAUAACUACUGUUUGUCUCCUGUGCCAUUAUAUUUCUAAUAAUAUAUAUUCUUAGAAGAAAAAGUAUUUUAUUUAAAUGUUACCUUUAUAAAGCAUUUUUGUACUAGCAUUAUAUUACAUCAUGUCUGUUAGAUUUUCCUCUGUGUUUAUUGAAGAUACUGUCAAUAUUUCCAAUAAACAUUGAUCAGCUUCCUGAAUAUUCAGUUUUGUUUAGUAUAGUAUGUAUGAGACUAAAAUAUUUACAGCUCUGUUAUUAUUCAAGUUUUCAUUUAUAUUUUUAAAUAAUUUAUUUCACAUAGAAAUAUUGUCUUUGAAAUUUAAAUUUCUAAACUAUUGAUUUCUAUUCACAUAUCGAUGAAGAAAUAUGAGGGGCCAUAGAGUAAAAGUGGUGAAGGUAGACAUUAACUAAUUUGCAUCUGAGGUUACUCAGUUUGGGUCCAGAACUUAUAUUCUAUGUUAAUUAUGGCUUUAUACUGGAAAUUGAUCACUCAGUUAAGUAAUUAAUUUCACCCAAAGAGAGGAGUAAUCCCUAGCCAUUUGUGGAUAUGGAGACAGAAGUAUAAUUUACUCAUUGUUAGUGGAUAUGGAAACAGCUGCCAUGUUUUACUCUUUUCUGCCUUGGAGCUGGUGUGUUGCUCUGAUAAGAUACUCACAUCAGAGGAAGCUAAUGACUUACACUUGCAGACAAUAAUCUAUCACUGAGGGAAGUCAGGGUAGGACUCCAGGUGGAAAACUGAAGGAAGAACCGAGAGAUACAGCUCGCUGGCUCGCUCUUUGUCUUAUGAUGGGCUAACUCACAUACAUAGCUCAGGGCCACCUGUCCUGGAAUAAUACCAGCAGCAAUGGCUGUGUUCUCUCACAUCAGUCACCAGUCUAGUCUUCUCUCGCUGACAUGGCUACACUUGGAGAGAGAGAAUUCUUUACUGGAGGUUCCUUCUUUCCAGGUGACGCUAGUUGAGUCAGGUUAAUGGUCAGCAGUGACCAGGACAGAGUACUACACUUCACCUUCAGUAAGAACCCAAACCUGGUUUUGCGCACCUUUGCGUUCUCUUCUGCACUGUAAGUCUAAUAUGAAAUACAUAUUUCAUAUGUAAUAUGAAAGGCUAAAACUAUAUGGUGGUGAAACCCAAAGGGAGAAUGUUUAGGUAAUAAUGUGGGGAGAUGGGUAGUAAGGUUGAAGUAUAUUCACCUAAAGAGUGAAUAUACCAAGUAUCUAAAAUACUUCGUAGCAUAGUCAGUAUAAAAGAUGAUAGUAAAACAUUUGAAUAGAAAUAGAAGCACAGCAUACU